rnacentral:rRNA from 1 species
GUGCCAGCCGCCGCGGUAAUACGGGGGGAGCAAGCGUUGUUCGGAUUUACUGGGCGUAAAGGGCGCGUAGGCGGCCUCCGCAAGUCAGUUGUGAAAUCUCCGAGCUUAACUCGGAAAGGUCAACUGAUACUGCGGGGCUAGAGUGCGGAAGGGGCAACUGGAAUUCUUGGUGUAGCGGUGAAAUGCGUAGAUAUCAAGAGGAACACCUGCGGCGAAGGCGGGUUGCUGGGCCGACACUGACGCUGAGGCGCGAAAGCUAGGGGAGCGAACGGGAUUAGAUACCCCCGUAGUCC